rnacentral:misc_RNA from 1 species
CAUGUGCACGCUCUGUUUGCACAUCCACUCACACCUGUUCACCUUCUGUAGUUCUGUGGCCUGGGGGGCUCUGCCCUCCUGCUGUGGUUCUGCAUAUUUACACACACACACUGUGGAACAGUCUUAUAUAAUAUGUGCCGCGCUUUACGCAGUAUAUAACAACUUUUUCCAAAAGAUAUCUCGUGUCUCGCAUCAAUAAAAAAAACACAGAAAAGCGAUAUAUAAAGUGAGAUUUGCAAAUUUCUGAGAAUCAUAAAAUCUUAGAACACAUUUUGCCCUUUUUGUAUAUUCAUAGGGACGUGUGUGUGAGAAUAUCAAGAACACCACAUCUCACGUGUUAUAAUGAGAAGAGUGUAGACUGUGGGUGUUGCGGUGGCGUGAUAUCAGCUCCCAUAAAAUAUAACAUUAUAACAGCGUGUGGUGGUAUACACGUGUGAGAUAUAUAUAUACUCGUGUGUUUGUGCCUCAUAUAAUCCUCAACUGUGGAUGCUCUCUAGAUCAUAAAUGUGUCUCUCCGGGGAGAAGACAUCUCUGAGAGUGUGAGAUCUCAUAUCGUGUAAGAAUACGCGCAGAUUAUACACAUAUUA